AAUUUUGAUAGCUUAAGAAGAGUGUGACGUUGAAGUUGUUAAGGUGACUAAAGUCUCAAAAU
rnacentral:tRNA from 1 species